AAGGUCUCCGUUGGUGAACCAGCGGAGGGAUCAUUACCGAGUUUACAACUCCCAAACCCCUGUGAACAUACCUAUACGUUGCCUCGGCGGAUCAGCCCGCGCCCUGUAAAACGGGACGGCCCGCCCGAGGACCCUAAACUCUGUUUUUAGUGGAACUUCUGAGUAAAACAAACAAAUAAAUCAAAACUUUCAACAACGGAUCUCUUGGUUCUGGCAUCGAUGAAGAACGCAGCAAAAUGCGAUAAGUAAUGUGAAUUGCAGAAUUCAGUGAAUCAUCGAAUCUUUGAACGCACAUUGCGCCCGCCAGUAUUCUGGCGGGCAUGCCUGUUCGAGCGUCAUUUCAACCCUCAAGCUCAGCUUGGUGUUGGGACUCGCGGUAACCCGCGUUCCCCAAAUCGAUUGGCGGUCACGUCGAGCUUCCAUAGCGUAGUAAUCAUACACCUCGUUACUGGUAAUCGUCGCGGCCACGCCGUUAAACCCCAACUUCUGAAUGUUGACCUCGGAUCAGGUAGGAAUACCCGCUGAACUUAAGCAUAUCAAUAAGCGGAGGAAAAGAAACCAACAGGGAUUGCCCUAGUAACGGCGAGUGAAGCGGCAACAGCUCAAAUUUGAAAUCUGGCUCUCGGGCCCGAGUUGUAAUUUGUAGAGGAUGCUUUUGAUGCGGUGCCUUCCGAGUUCCCUGGAACGGGACGCCAUAGAGGGUGAGAGCCCCGUCUGGU
rnacentral:misc_RNA from 1 species